UGAGAGUUUGAUCCUGGCUCAGGACGAACGCUGGCGGCGUGCCUAAUACAUGCAAGUCGAACGCUGCUUAAGAAGAAACUUCGGUUUUUUCUUAAGCGGAGUGGCGGACGGGUGAGUAACACGUGGGGAACCUAUCCAUCAGCGGGGGAUAACACUUGGAAACAGGUGCUAAUACCGCAUACGGCUUUUUUUCACCUGAAAGAAAGCUCAAAGGCGCUUUACAGCGUCACUGAUGGCUGGUCCCGCGGUGCAUUAGCCAGUUGGUGAGGUAACGGCUCACCAAAGCAACGAUGCAUAGCCGACCUGAGAGGGUGAUCGGCCACACUGGGACUGAGACACGGCCCAGACUCCUACGGGAGGCAGCAGUAGGGAAUCUUCGGCAAUGGACGCAAGUCUGACCGAGCAACGCCGCGUGAGUGAAGAAGGUUUUCGGAUCGUAAAGCUCUGUUGUCAGCAAAGAACAGGAGAAAGAGGAAAUGCUUUUUCUAUGACGGUAGCUGACCAGAAAGCCACGGCUAACUACGUGCCAGCAGCCGCGGUAAUACGUAGGUGGCAAGCGUUGUCCGGAUUUAUUGGGCGUAAAGCGAGCGCAGGCGGUGAUUUAAGUCUGAUGUGAAAGCCCCCAGCUCAACUGGGGAGGGUCAUUGGAAACUGGAUCACUUGAGUGCAGAAGAGGAGAGUGGAAUUCCAUGUGUAGCGGUGAAAUGCGUAGAUAUAUGGAGGAACACCAGUGGCGAAGGCGGCUCUCUGGUCUGUAACUGACGCUGAGACUCGAAAGCGUGGGUAGCAAACAGGAUUAGAUACCCUGGUAGUCCACGCCGUAAACGAUGAGUGCUAAGUGUUGGAGGGUUUCCGCCCUUCAGUGCUGCAGUUAACGCAUUAAGCACUCCGCCUGGGGAGUACGACCGCAAGGUUGAAACUCAAAGGAAUUGACGGGGGCCCGCACAAGCGGUGGAGCAUGUGGUUUAAUUCGAAGCAACGCGAAGAACCUUACCAGGUCUUGACAUCCUUUGACCGCCCUAGAGAUAGGGUUUCCCCUUCGGGGGCAAAGUGACAGGUGGUGCAUGGUUGUCGUCAGCUCGUGUCGUGAGAUGUUGGGUUAAGUCCCGUAACGAGCGCAACCCUUAUUGUUAGUUGCCAGCAUUG
rnacentral:rRNA from 1 species